UACAGAGGUCUCAGGCGUUGUUCGGUUCAUUGGUGCGUAAAGGGUGCGUAGGCGGCGCGGUAAGUCGGGUGUGAAAUCUCGGAGCUUAACUCCGAAACUGCAUUCGAUACUGCCGUGCUUGAGGACUGGAGAGGAGACUGGAAUUUACGGUGUAGCGGUGAAAUGCGUAGAUAUCGUAAGGAAGACCAGUGGCGAAGGCGGGUCUCUGGACAGUUCCUGACGCUGAGGCACGAAGGUCAGGGGAGCAAACGGG
rnacentral:rRNA from 1 species